rnacentral:rRNA from 1 species
CCUACGGGCGGCUGCAGUGGGGAAUAUUGGACAAUGGGCGCAAGCCUGAUCCAGCCAUGCCGCGUGAGUGAUGAAGGCCCUAGGGUUGUAAAGCUCUUUCACCGGUGAAGAUAAUGACGGUAACCGGAGAAGAAGCCCCGGCUAACUUCGUGCCAGCAGCCGCGGUAAUACGAAGGGGGCUAGCGUUGUUCGGAUUUACUGGGCGUAAAGCGCACGUAGGCGGACUUUUAAGUCAGGGGUGAAAUCCCGGGGCUCAACCCCGGAACUGCCUUUGAUACUGGAAGUCUUGAGUAUGGUAGAGGUGAGUGGAAUUCCGAGUGUAGAGGUGAAAUUCGUAGAUAUUCGGAGGAACACCAGUGGCGAAGGCGGCUCACUGGACCAUUACUGACGCUGAGGUGCGAAAGCGUGGGGAGCAAACAGGAUUAGAUACCCUUGUAGUCCUGUCUCUUAUAC